rnacentral:ncRNA from 1 species
GCCCAUUAAAGCGGUACGCGAGCUGGGUUCAGAACGUCGUGAGACAGUUCGGUCCCUAUCCGGCGUGGGCGCAGGAAGUUUGAGGGGAGCCGUUCCUAGUACGAGAGGACCGGGACGGACCGACCGCUGGUAUGCCUGUUGGGGAGCAACCCCAUGGCAGGGAAGCCAAGUCGGGAAGGGAUAAACGCUGAAAGCAUCUAAGCGUGAAGCCCCCCCUAAGAUGAGACCUCCCGCGCGUAAGCGUUAAGACCCCUUGAAGACUACGAGGUUGAUAGGACGCAGGUGUAAGUGCAGCAAUGUACUAAGCCAGGCGUUACUAAUAGGUCGAGGGUUUAACCAG